rnacentral:rRNA from 1 species
GGAGGUAACAGCCCUGUAGUCAAAACUUCGUUCUCUCCUGAGUGGAUCCUGAGUACGGCGGAACACGUGAAAUUCCGUCGGAAUCCGGGAGGACCAUCUCCCAAGGCUAAAUACUCCCUAGUGACCGAUAGUGAACCAGUACCGUGAGGGAAAGGUGAAAAGCACCCCGGAAGGGGAGUGAAAUAGCUCCUGAAACCGUGUGCCUACAAGUAGUCAGAGCCCGUUAACGGGUGAUGGCGUGCCUUUUGUAGAAUGAACCGGCGAGUUACGAUCCCGUGCAAGGUUAAGCAGAAGAUGCGGAGCCGCAGCG